GGAGACGUAUCGAAGUGGUCAUAACGGGGCGCACUCGAAAUGCGUUAGCCGGUUUUUCGGCUCGAGGGUUCGAAUCCCUCCGUCUCCGCCA
rnacentral:tRNA from 1 species